rnacentral:lncRNA from 1 species
CGGGGAGGAGUCUGGCCUCUUCAGCUCCUGUGUGGUGGCCUGAUAUUCAGUCUGUGAGCUGGGAGCCUGUUGGCAGGUCCCUCUUUUUAUUUUCGCUGAGAGCUUUCUUUUACUAAAUGCCACCAUCCUUACCUUUCAAGGUGUCUGCGUGCCUAAUUUUUCCUGGUUGUUAGACAAGAACCCGGAUUUUAGUUGAACUCUGGAGCAAAAAUCCUGCAUCAUUUGUCAACAACAAGAGGCCAGGACCUCCCAAGAAAAGCUUUACUAAUGUGGGUGUCAUUGUGACUGGCUGCUACCUCCCCAUGAGUCUUCUAAAAUAAAACCUGCAAAUUCACAUCUUCCCCAUGCUUCCAGAGAAUGCAUAUUCUUCCUUUGAAAAAAGAAAACCAGGAAGAUUUGAAUAGAUAUUUCUCAAAAGAAGACAUACGAAUGGCAAACAGACAUAUGAAAAUGUACUCAAAAUCAUUGAUCAUCAGAGAAAUGUAAAUCAAAACUGCAAUGAGAUAUCAUCCGACUCCAGUUAAAAUGGCUUUUAUCCAAAAGUCAGGCAAUAAAAAAUGCUGGUAAGGAUGUAGAGAAAAGGGAACCCUUGUACACUGUUAGUGGGAAUGUAAAUUAAUACAAUCACUAUGGAGAACAGUUUGGAGGAUCCUCAAAAAACUAAAAAUAGAGCUACCAUAUGAUUCAGCAAUCUCACUGCUAGGUAUAUACCCAAAAGUAUAUUGAAGAGACAUCUGCACUCCCAUGUUUGUUGCAGCACUGUUCAUAAUAGCCAAGAUUUGGAAGCCACCUAAGUGUCCAUCAACAGAUGAAUGGAGAAACUGUGGUACAUAUACACAACGGAGUGCUAUUCAGCCAUAAAAAAGAAUGAUACUCUGUCAUCUGCAACAACAUGAAUGGAACUGGAGAUCAUUAUGUUGUUAAAUAAGCCAGACACAGAAAGACAAACAUCACAUAUUUUCACUUAUUUUGGGGAUAUAAAAGUCAAAACAAACUCAUGGAGAUAGAGAACAGAUAGACGGUUACCAGAGGCUAGGAGGAGGAGUGGUGGGGGGCAGUUAGUGAUGGUUAAUUGGUACAAAAAAAUGGUUAGAAAUAAUAAAUAAGACCUAGUAUUAGAUAGGACAACAGGAGGACUAUAGUCAAAAAUAAUUUAUUUGUACAUUUCAAAGUAACUAAAAGAGUGUAAUUGUAUUAUUUGUAGCACAUAGGAUAAAUGCUUGAGGUGACGGAUACCCCAUUUACCCUGAUGUGAUUAUUACACAUCGUAUGCCUGUACCAAAAGAUCUCAUGUACCUCAUAAAUACAUACACCUACUAUAUACCCACACAAAUUAAAAAUUAAAAAAAUUUAAAGAAAUUACAGUUUGUUGGUUUUGAAUAUUUGACCAAAUUUUUUACUAAGCACAGAUAGAUUGAAUAUAAUUUUAUUGUCCUUUUGACAUUAUGAUAAUGAAGGUAUCUACACAGAAGUCUGAGAUGAGAAAAAAAUGAUAUAAUAUCCACCUACUACAUAGUGGGUAGUUUAUAUACUAAAGUUAUUGUUAUGAGAAAGAAUGGCUUAGGAAUAUUAUUUAAAAUUAAUUAAGGGGUGUUAAAAAUAAAAUACCAAGUGUAAAAAUGACAAAGGCAAGAAGAAACAGUAUAUAAUGUGAGUAAAUCUUAAUCUUUCCAAGAGAGGAGACAGUACAUAAUGUCUAAAAUUGUUAAACCAUGAAAUAGAAAUAUAGUUAUUUUAUUCAUAAUUAAGGAGAUAACUACUAUAGCACGAAAUCGUGCCAAAAAUGGUUGCCUCUGGGAAAUGUGAUUAUAGAUAUUAUAAUAUUUUGGACUGUAAAAAUCUGCUUUUAAGACUGAGGAAAUACAAAUAGGACAAUAUUUAUUUGAAAUUUGUAUCCUCAGGGAGUGUAAAGAAAUUAAUGUAUCCACAAAAUAAUAAUAGCUGCUAUUUGAAAACAUAGUUUUCUUGAAAGUUAAAAUAGUAAUAGUCUUCUAAAAAUUUUGUUAGUUUUGGUUUUCUCUUUAAUCUGAGUUAUGUAGAAAAGUGCUUAUUUCAAAUUAGGUAGGCUUGUUUUAUUCCUUUUUCUGUCUUUUUUCUAUCAACUAGUGUUUUAUUGUGUUCAGAAAAUGCCAUGCAUUAAAAGACUACUUUUGAGAAUUUCUAGAGAUUUUCUUUGUUACUAAAGAGAUUUUUGUAAUUGUUACAUGGGAUUUUAAAAAGAAUGUAAAUUAUCCUUUUUGUCAAGUAUAAUGAUUUCUGAAACCUAGCUGUGUCAGAAUACUGUAUAAUACUGUAAUAGUAUGUUGUUUUUGGCUAUGUGUACUUAUUUCUUAGAGUGGUAUGUUAAAGCCUCGACCUUGUGACUUUGUUUAUUUCUCUCUCUACAUCUAAACAUUUCCAAGACAUGUUAUUUGCAAUACCAAGACCAUAACUAUUAUGUAUUUAAUCAAAAUAAAAUAUUUCGGCUCUCUAUAAUUCACCUUGAACUUUAUUUUGUUAAAUAUAAAUGUUGUUGAUUAUACAACAUUUCAUUAUCAAUCCCUAGACACAUUUCUAAUCCACUAUAAUUGUUUUAAAAUAAAAGGAGAAGGGAAGGUUGUA